AAAUUCAGAUUUUUUUCAACAAGAGAAAAAAACUUUGUGAGAUAUUGAAAAAACGUUGAAAUUUACGAUGCAUCACCACAAUUUCAAGAUUAAAAAGGAACACGUAAAAAGAGAAAAAGAAAAAUACUGUGGAUAGCAAAGUACAUAUGUAUCGAUUCACGGCAUACAUGAAGGGAGAUAAACAAAGCACCCUUUUAUCAUUAGUCCUAAAAACUUUAUUUCUGUCAUUAAUGGUUAAAAUGGUGUGUGUAUAUAAGAAUACAAUCUGAAAGAAGAAGGUAAGAAAACUCUUAUUCCCGGAAGUUCAAUAAAAAAGGAACUAUGUUCAGUCUAUCCGUAGAUCAUAAAAACAAACCAAACUCCACAUAAGGACAUUAGAGCUUAGAGAAAACAAAAAGCUAUUGAAACAUUAGUAAACA